ensembl:misc_RNA 7SK 7SK RNA
GGAUGUUAGGGCAAUCUGUCUGCGACAUUUGUUAUCCCAUUGACUGCCAGGUUUGAUUCGAUGAUCUGGCUGGCUAGGCUGGUGUUCCCUUCCCACCUCAAUGCUCCACAUGCUUUCCUCCUGAAGCUGCGGGCUUGGUCAAAGAGGAUGGUGUUCCCUGAAUAGAGACUGACGAAUCUUUGGUAUAUGAGUAUAUGAGUAGCUGCACUCCCCUGUUAGAACCUCCAAACAAGCUCUCAGACCUGCUUCACCACUCCUGAAGUGUCCUCCCUGCAGAUGGGGAGAGUGGGCUCAAACCCAGGUCCUCGCACUUGUUAAUAUGUAUACUUAACUGGGU